rnacentral:misc_RNA from 1 species
AUUUUAAUUUUAUUUUAUUUUUAAACUUUACAUAAUUAUAUUAAUUUUACCAAAUAUCAAAAUAAAUCCACCACAAAUAUACAUAUAUUCCCCAUCCUAAACCCUCCUCCCUCCUCCCUCCCCAUACCAUCCCUCUAAAUCAUCCCAAUACACCAACCCCAAACAUCCAAUAUCGUACAUCGAACCUAAACUAACGACUCAUUUCAUAUAUA